GUCUACAGCCAUAACACCCUGAACAUGCCCCAUCACGUCUGAUCUCGGAAGCUAAGCAGGGUGGGGCCCGGUUAGUACUUGGAUGGGAUUCCACCCGGGCACCAAAGACUAUGAAAAAA
rnacentral:rRNA from 1 species